rnacentral:rRNA from 1 species
GAUGAACGCUAGCGAUAGGCUUAACACAUGCAAGUCGAGGGGCAGCGAGCGAGAUAGCAAUAUCUUGUGUCGGCGACCGGCGCACUGGUGAGUAACACGUAUGCAACCUGCCCUCUACAGGGGGAUAAUCCGGAGAAAUUCGGUCUAAUAUCCCAUAGUCCCUGAGUUUGCAUGAGCUUAGGGGGAAAGUUCCGGCGGUAGAGGAUGGGCAUGCGGCGCAUUAGCUGGUUGGCGGGGUAACGGCCCACCAAGGCGACGAUGCGUAGGGGUUCUGAGAGGAAGGUCCCCCACACUGGUACUGAGACACGGACCAGACUCCUACGGGAGGCAGCAGUGAGGAAUAUUGGUCAAUGGGCGCGAGCCUGAACCAGCCAAGUCGCGUGAGGGACGACGGUCCUACGGAUUGUAAACCUCUUUAGGCGGGGAGUAAUGUGCUCUACGCGUAGAGUAGUGAGAGUACCCGCAGAAUAAGCAUCGGCUAACUCCGUGCCAGCAGCCGCGGUAAUACGGAGGAUGCGAGCGUUAUCCGGAUUUACUGGGCGUAAAGGGUGCGUAGGUGGUCCUUCAAGUCGGUGGUUAAAGGCUACGGCUCAACCGUAGUAAGCCGCCGAAACUGGAGGACUUGAGUGCAGGAGAGGAAAGUGGAAUUCCCAGUGUAGCGGUGAAAUGCGUAGAUAUUGGGAGGAACACCAGUAGCGAAGGCGGCUUUCUGGACUGCAACUGACACUGAGGCACGAAAGCGUGGGUAGCAAACAGG